UCUGAUCCGAUAUAUUCCAUAUCGGGAUAUUGUUGUCCUAUAUGGAUAUGUUUAGUUGCGACAGUUAUGUCAGAACUUAGAAAAUGCGGAUGUAAAGGAUAGUAAGGACAGUCUACAAAUUAUUAUUCCCGCAUGGUUUGUUAGAAUCCGAAUUCUGGAUCGAUGAUGUUACAGAAACACAUACGGGGAGUUCCUUGACAACGUUUUCCCUGUAUCCUGUCUUCUUUAAAUCACAAGAACACUUCAAGAACGACCGCAGCUCCCUCAAACUAAAACCCCUUCAACAAUGUAGAAAAUUAUAUUGACUCACGCCCCCUAGCGAAAAUUAAAUAAUAACUCUUCCUCAUUUCAUAAUGGCAAGGUUCCUCAUUUUACCAUGGCGAAGUUCCUCAUUUUACCAUGGUGAGGAACAGGAUACAUAUCUACAUAUCUCAAAACAAUUUUGGAGGCUCACAUGGUUUUCCAUAUUCAUAUCCACUUUACAGGAUAGUACAAAGUUCAAGAGUUUUGUUUUUACAUCAUAUCUAAAACCUAAUUGUUUACUUACCGGUAAGUCUAGAGAUAAAUUUGGUUAUGUUAGGUUAAAAUUAUGGGAAUGUAAUAUCAAACUAGAUUCUGUCUUAAAAGUAUUUAUAACUAGGAAACAAAACAAAAUAACUUUUUUCUUCAUUUCACGCCUCUGAUAUGCCUAAAUUAGUUCUUCUAGUAGUUGUGGUCGGGUACGCGGCUGCUUUUUUGAUUCAGGACUUUGGAUUUAACCAGACAUCUACACUCAAUGAGCAACAUGCUACCGUUGAAGAUAGUUUCCGUGAUUUAGUGGCAUUGAUUGUGGAGGAAAAAAGAAUGCAAGUUACAAGAAGAAAGAAAUGAACUGCAACAAAUGAAAACAGUUUGUAAUGACCUUAGACUUGAAAUUGACAACAUUACUGCGGAUAAAAGCUUUGCCAGUCUGCAAACAUUUAAACGUAUCAAAACUGACGUAUAAAAUAUUACGGACAUCUUGUCAAAUUUGAAGUUAGAAGACAAAAUACAUCAUGAAGAAGCAACACAAUUUAAUAGAACUCUUGUGGAAAACAUAUCGAAAAUAAACGGCCAGCUGCAGAAUGCAAAUAAUUCCUUAAAUUCCAUUAGAGCUAUGAAAAGACAUGGGUUUUCUGUUUACUAUCCGGACAGAAAAAGCGGCUCUGGUACUACUCCGGUCAAGUUCGGCGGUAUAUUCUACAACGACUUCAAUGUUUUCAACAUGACCACGGGAAUUUUUGAUUGCAAACAUUCGGGGCUUUACAUUCUAACCUUUUCAAUAGUAAAGUCAAAUGAAAUUGAGGGAUCUGUGAAGUGUAGAGUCUACAAGAACGGACAAUAUAUCAGUGCAUUUGCUGCUACAGUUGCAGCUGGUGGACAUUUCUAUUCUUCAGGAACAAAUUAUUUUCUUUAUCAGUUAUAUGUAGGCGAUCACGUAUAUAUAAGUGGCUGUAAUCUUCCAGACCGUCUCCAACCGGAAACCAGCUUUACCGGAUUUCUUCUCUGUCCAGUAGGUUAACAUCAUCUGGCGGCGAACUUUCUAGCAGUAAAAAUAUAAAAAAAAAACUCAAGAAGGAUGAUGUCUGUACUGUAUGUUUGUAUUUAGAUUGAUUUUGAUAAAUACAACAAAGACCUAAAUUAAUUGUACAAGCACCUAUUUUGUAAAUAAUAUGACGAUCCGCCCGCUUAGCACAAUAGUUUGAUCCUCGGAGCGGGGCGUAUGUUCUCCUAGACGAUUUGAUUAAAAAACAUUGUGUCUGAAAUCAUUUGUCCUCCACCUUUGAUUAAUGUUGGGAAGGUGUCAGUUUCUUGCAGAGAACAGGCUAGAACUUGUACAGAAUCAAAGAACACUGGUUAGGUUAACUGACUGACGUUAAAUAACUAAAAUACUGUUUAGAAACGGUGUGGAACCCAAAACAAUAAAGCAAACUAACA
rnacentral:lncRNA from 1 species